rnacentral:rRNA from 1 species
UGAGUUUGAUUCUGGCUCAGGAUGAACGCUGGCGGCGUGCUUAACACAUGCAAGUCGAACGAACCUUCGGGUUAGUGGCGGACGGGUGAGUAACGCGUGAGAAUCUGCCCUCAGGAGGGGGAUAACGGCUGGAAACGGCCGCUAAUACCCCAUAUGCCGCGAGGUGAAAUGAAUUUCGCCUGAGGAUGAGCUCGCGUCUGAUUAGCUAGUUGGUGGGGUAAAGGCCUACCAAGGCAUCGAUCAGUAGCUGGUCUGAGAGGAUGAUCAGCCACACUGGGACUGAGACACGGCCCAGACUCCUACGGGAGGCAGCAGUGGGGAAUUUUCCGCAAUGGGCGAAAGCCUGACGGAGCAACGCCGCGUGAGGGAUGAAGGCCUCUGGGCUGUAAACCUCUUUUAUCAAGGAAGAAGAUCUGACGGUACUUGAUGAAUAAGCCACGGCUAAUUCCGUGCCAGCAGCCGCGGUAAUACGGGAGUGGCAAGCGUUAUCCGGAAUUAUUGGGCGUAAAGCGUCCGCAGGCGGCCCUUCAAGUCUGCUGUUAAAAAGUGGAGCUUAACUCCAUCAUGGCAGUGGAAACUGUUGGGCUUGAGUGUGGUAGGGGC